GAGCGGCGGACGGGUGAGUAAUGCCUAGGGAUCUGCCCAGUCGUGGGGGAUAACAGUUGGAAACGACUGCUAAUACCGCAUACGCCCUACGGGGGAAAGGAGGGGACCUUCGGGCCUUCCGCGAUUGGAUGAACCUAGGUGGGAUUAGCUAGUUGGUGAGGUAAUGGCUCACCAAGGCGACGAUCCCUAGCUGUUCUGAGAGGAUGAUCAGCCACACUGGGACUGAGACACGGCCCAGACUCCUACGGGAGGCAGCAGUGGGGAAUAUUGCACAAUGGGGGAAACCCUGAUGCAGCCAUGCCGCGUGUGUGAAGAAGGCCUUCGGGUUGUAAAGCACUUUCAGUAGGGAGGAAAG
rnacentral:rRNA from 1 species